rnacentral:lncRNA from 1 species
GAAAGGGCCCACGGGGGCAUUAAACAAACAAAACCCCGAAGUCCAGAUCCUCAUGAAAUCCAAGUUGUAGGGGGUGGAGACAAAAAGUAAACAACAAACAAGUCCCUGUCAGAUGGUAGAUCACCUCAGACAGCACCUGUUCACUACACUUGAAAUGCAGCCGAACCCUCCAGCUCCUUUCAGCCUGGUCACCCAACAGCUGUCACUCAAACAAUGCCUCUCAGCCACCCCAGGCCUGAUUUGGAUUUGACCUACUGACCUCGAGAUACAGAGUUGUGAAGGUGGGUGCUUUGGGGUUCUCAGCUCCCUUCUCCCUGACAAAAAGGAGAGAGGAUCAAGUUGAUGUGAGUAUUUGAGUGACUGUAUGUGUAUGUGAAGAUAGAGGACCACUGUGAUUUGUCCCCAAAGUCUGAGAAGGGUGUUAAGAAGAAUCAGGGAUGAUGUAGUCUGGCUUUAUUACUGAGGUCUCUUUCAACUGCAGGUGGCAGAAAUUAAACAGGUAACAGCUUUUUUUUUUUUUUUUUUGUAAAGUCUUCGAUAAUAUCCAUAUGAAAAACCAGGUUAUGAAGUUUCCGGUAUAAACGGAUUCAGGGGUCCAAACAACAUCAUGAAGUCUG